rnacentral:rRNA from 1 species
AUACAUGCAAGUCGAACGAGUUCUCGUUGAUGAUCGGUGCUUGCACCGAGAUUCAACAUGGAACGAGUGGCGGACGGGUGAGUAACACGUGGGUAACCUGCCCUUAAGUGGGGGAUAACAUUUGGAAACAGAUGCUAAUACCGCAUAGAUCCAAGAACCGCAUGGUUCUUGGCUGAAAGAUGGCGUAAGCUAUCGCUUUUGGAUGGACCCGCGGCGUAUUAGCUAGUUGGUGAGGUAACGGCUCACCAAGGCGAUGAUACGUAGCCGAACUGAGAGGUUGAUCGGCCACAUUGGGACUGAGACACGGCCCAAACUCCUACGGGAGGCAGCAGUAGGGAAUCUUCCACAAUGGACGCAAGUCUGAUGGAGCAACGCCGCGUGAGUGAAGAAGGCUUUCGGGUCGUAAAACUCUGUUGUUGGAGAAGAAUGGUCGGCAGAGUAACUGUUGUCGGCGUGACGGUAUCCAACCAGAAAGCCACGGCUAACUACGUGCCAGCAGCCGCGGUAAUACGUAGGUGGCAAGCGUUAUCCGGAUUUAUUGGGCGUAAAGCGAGCGCAGGCGGUUUUUUAAGUCUGAUGUGAAAGCCCUCGGCUUAACCGAGGAAGCGCAUCGGAAACUGGGAAACUUGAGUGCAGAAGAGGACAGUGGAACUCCAUGUGUAGCGGUGAAAUGCGUAGAUAUAUGGAAGAACACCAGUGGCGAAGGCGGCUGUCUGGUCUGUAACUGACGCUGAGGCUCGAAAGCAUGGGUAGC